rnacentral:lncRNA from 10 species
AUCCUAGCUACUCAGGAGGCUGGGGCAGGAGAAUCGCUUGAACCCAUGAGGUGGAGGUUGCAGUGAGCCGAGAUCGCACCACUGCACUCCAGCUUGGGCAACGGAGCAAGACUCUGUCUCAGAAAAAAACGACAAUGAUUAGUCACAUUCUUUGUCCAGAUAAAAUCCACAUAUUUUUCCCACCUAUUAAUAUUAUUACUUGGUUCUCAGCUAAAAUACAGGAAAUGAGAUGAGUGAACCCAAAAUACAGCCUAGCACCCAGUUUGGUGCUUUGUAUAUGGGAGGUAUUUAUAAAUGAUUGUGCCAACUCCAGAUGCGAUUACUAACAACAUAAAGUAGCCUAGGCUUCAAAUUAAAUGGGUCAUGUAAUCAAUAAAUGCUUUAAUAGCUGGAGAAGUAAGGUAAAUUGAAUUUUUUUUUUUUUUUGAGACAGAGCCUCACUCUGUUGCCCAAGCUGGAGUGCAAUGACGCCAUCUUGGCUCACUGCAACUUCCGCCUCCCCGGUUCAAGCAAUUCUCCUGGCUUAGCCUCCUGAGUAGCUGGGACUACAGGCGCCCGCCAUCACACCCAGCUAAUUUUUGUAUUUUUAGCAGAGGCGGGGUUUCACCGUGUUGGCCAGGAUGGUCUUGAACUCCUGACCUCAAGUGAUCCACCCACCUCGGCUUCCCAAAGUGCUGGGAUUAUAGGCGUGAGGCACCGUGCCUUGCCGAUAAAUGGAUUUUAAGCUGAGUCUUUGAGGGAAGAGUAGGACCUGCACUGAAACAAAAAGACAAUUUGUGGGGUUGGGGAGAGGAACCAGAUGUAAACAAUGGAAAGGUUUUGGUGUCACUUUGAGAAGGAUUUUUUGGAAGGGUUUUGCAAUGUCCAUUCUGUAUCUUGGGUUAACACUAGUAAGUCAAAUGGAGAAUAAUUUGAGUGUCACUCAUUCCUACAGAUAGAAAAAUUUUAAAGUAGCUUGGGCCGGGAUUUUCCUUUUAUCAUGUGCCAUUGUGUACGUGUCUGCUACUUCAUUUAGUUCCUUUUUUAAAAAUGGAAUUUUUAUCACUUCUGUGCAAAGGUUAAAUUUUUUUAAUAAAUUAAUAAUGGAAUGUUUAAGCCUUCCUCAGUAAUGAGUAUAAUCUUAUCUCUCCAUCUGAUCUGAUGGGUCAACUAUAUAGUAACUAAAAUAGACUGUAACAGCUGUCUUCAUCAUUAGUUUUUAUUUUCACCAUGCAUGUAGAAUGCUUUAUAUUGUAGUCCCUUAUUAUCUGAGGUUUCAUUUUCUGAUGUUUCAGUUACCUGUGUUCAACUAUGUCCAAAAAUAGGUAACUACAAUGAUAUUUUGAGAGACCACAUUCACAUAUAACUUUUAUUAUAGUACAUUGUUAUAAUUGUCCUAUUUUCAUUGUUAAUAUCGUACUGUGCCUAAUUUAUAAGUUAAACUUUAUCAUAGGUAUAUAUGUAUAGAAAAAACAUAGUGUAUACUGUAUGGGGUUCAGUAUUAGCUGUGGUUUCAGGCAUCCUCUGUAGAGGUCUUGGAAUAUAUCCCUUGUGGAUAAUGGAGGACUACAUAUUUGACUGGUUGGUGGAGUUAACCUAAGGAGACCUUUUCAUGACUCUUUAAACUUUUAGGUUUAAAGGUUGACUCGGAAAAGAAAAACAAUUUAUAUCAAUAAAUCUAAGGUAGGCUUAUAUGAAUGCUGCAUACUUUUCAUCACUGCAGUGUUGUGGAAUGAAAAGUAAUUGUAUGGAUUUUAUACUAUACAACAUUAAACUCAUAGUUAUUUGGAAUAUGAGCAACCAGGAAAAGAAAAUAACCAGGUAUUUUGUUUGAUUUACAUAGUAAUCUACUUUUAGUAGUCAUGACAGGAUGAGGUAUGGCAUUUUAAAAAAAGUAAUUCCUAGUAUUGCCUAGGUUUGGUACUACUCAGAUUAGGUUACAUUUGCAGGAGUACUAUACAACAACUGUUCACUUUGAUGAAUCUGAGGCCUUUAAGGUUCAGAACUGCUUUCCCUAUAUCAAUUUUUUUUUUUCAAAAAAGGCUUUACAAAAUAAUUUAACAUUGAGUAUUUAAUUUUACAUUGCAGGUACUGGAAAAUAUUUGUUGAAGAAAUUAAUUAUUCCUUAAAACUUUAUUAUUGAGUUAACCAAAACUUUACCAAAUCUCAGUCCUUAGCUAUUCUGUUGCGAAGAAGUGAGAGUUUACUACCAUUAACAAGGCUGCAGAUGUACACUGCUACUGGCAGAACUAUCCCUAGAGUGGCAAAACUCUACAUUUCCCAAGGGAACAUAUCUGUGGGUCAUGUUUUGCUUUGGAGACAGUAGUAACUCUAGGAGGUGAACACAGAACGUUCUACAUAUUUAGAAAUAGAAAAAAGAAAUAGCCCUUAACAAUUAAUCCCACACUCUCACCCUCAUUACCUCUUCAUUCUAUAGAUGCUCUCAAGCUUCUUGUGACUUUUGUUGCAAGAUGUUGUGACAUGGCAUCUGACUCCCUAUUGAUCAGCAGGGUUAAAAUCCUCCUGGGUUUUCCUAUCCACAAUGUUCUGUGAAUUGCUAUAUUUAAACUAGCUUUUUUUUUUGAGACGGAAUCUUGCUCUGUUCCCAGGCUGGAGUGCAGUGGCACACUGUAGAGUGGCAAAUGAAGACAUAUUUAUCUGAUCCUCUGAUAUGAAAUCCCCUAUUAAUAAACACCUUUCUUAAAAGUGCUAUAUAAAAGUAUGCUUAUAAUAGGAAUGUUUCCUUUAAUUUGUCUAGAAUUGAAAGGGAAAUAGGCAGGGGGGUUCAAAAAACAAAAGGGAAAUUGAAGGCAUCCAGAAACUUAUUUUAUUUUUGAGACCGAGUCUCGCUCUGUCACCCAGGCUGGAGUGCAAUGGUGUGAUCUCGGCUCACUGCAACCUCCACCUCCCAAGUUCAAGCGAUUCUCCUGCCUCAGCCUCCCAAGUAGCUGGG